UACAGAGGGGGCAAGCGUUGUUCGGAAUUACUGGGCGUAAAGGGCGCGUAGGCGGCCUUCUAAGUCAGACGUGAAACCCCUCGGCUCAACCGGGGAACUGCGUCUGAUACUGAAAGGCUUGAAUCCGGGAGAGGAAUGCGGAAUUCCAGGUGUAGCGGUGAAAUGCGUAGAUAUCUGGAGGAACACCGGUGGCGAAGGCGGCAUUCUGGACCGGCAUUGACGCUGAGGCGCGAAAGCCAGGGGAGCAAACGGG
rnacentral:rRNA from 1 species